rnacentral:rRNA from 1 species
CCAGUUUAACGGCCGCGGUAUUCUGACCGUGCAAAGGUAGCAUAAUCACUUGUUCUCCAAAUAAGGACUUGUAUGAAUGGCCACACGAGGGUUUUACUGUCUCUUACUUCCAAUCAGUGAAAUUGACCUUCCCGUGAAGAGGCGGGAAUAAAAAAAUAAGACGAGAAGACCCUAUGGAGCUUUAAUUAACUAUUCCAAAAGUUAAACAAUUCAACCACAAAGGGAUAAAACAUAACUUAACAUGGACUAGCAAUUUCGGUUGGGGUGACCUCGGAGUACAAAAAACCCUCCGAGUGAUUUUAAUCUAGACAAACCAGUCAAAAUAACCAUAACAUCACUUAUUGAUCCAAAACUUUGAUCAACGGAACAAGUUACCCUAGGGAUAACAGCGCAAUCCUAUUCUAGAGUUCCUAUCGACAAUAGGGUUUACGACCUCGAUGUUGGAUCAGGACACCCAAAUGGUGCAACCGCUAUUAAAGGUUCGUUUGUUCAACGAUUAAAGUCCUACGUGAUCUGAGCAA